CCCUACCAACUCCCUCUCAGAACCUCCAGGUUGCCAAAAAAUAUGCAGUACUGAAACGGCAGCUGAAGGAAAGGCAGGAACCAUGUGCUCUAAGACAGGGACCCUUGAGCUUCUCCCCCAGAACCCUCUUUGUACAACACCUGCCUCAGGAAAAUGGCCCCUACUCACCCUCAGUGCACUCACCGGCCACAGAGAAAAAUGCAAAACAGGAUGUAAAUAUGCUUUCUCUGUAAUGUGCUUUCUGUCCUAAGGUACAAGAAGCUCAAAGAACUCAGGCACAAGAAACAUGAAGAAAACUACAUCAAGUUGCAGCAUAACAAAAUUACUCAAAACCAGUUCUAAACAGACACUUUUAUAAGCAGCCAGAGGGAAAGGACAGGCUAAUUACAGAGGAACAAACUUAAGGAGCACAGCAAAAUUCUUGUCGGAAAUGAGGUAAGUGAGAAGACAGUGAUGUAGCAUCUUAAAGUGUUGAAAAACUAACAAGCAAAACAAAACCGUCAACCCAGAUUUCUAUAACCAGGGGUGAAAAUAUCUUUUGAAAAAGCAGGUGAAAUAAAGACCUCUUCAGACUUGCAAAAGCUGUCUAGAGCAGUAGAAUGUCAGUCCAACAGUUGAUCUUCACCAUGGGAUCCACAGUACAAGAAAUGUGAAUGGAAGAAGGAAGAUGUUUAGGCAGAGAGAAAAUGAUACCAGAUGGAAAUAUAGUUCUAUACAAAGGAAUGAAGAGCACUUGUAAUGGUAAAGAAAUCUUCUUUUGUGUAAUAUAGAUGAAAUUGUGCAUCACUUGAAGGUAAAUGGUAAUAAAGGAGGAUAAACAAAGGAAAACAGAGAAGAGAAAAUAGAAUAAUGAAAUAUACUCAAACUAAAAGAUGGCAGAAAAAAUA